UACAGAGGGGGCAAGCGUUGUUCGGAAUUACUGGGCGUAAAGGGCGCGUAGGCGGCCCUGUGUGUCGGGUGUGAAAGCCCACCUCUUAAAGGUGGAAUUGCAUUCGAAACUACAGGGCUGGAGUGUCGGAGAGGAUGGCGGAAUUCCUGGUGUAGAGGUGAAAUUCGUAGAUAUCAGGAGGAACACCGGUGGCGAAGGCGGCCAUCUGGACGACAACUGACGCUGAGGCGCGAAAGCGUGGGGAUCAAACAGGG
rnacentral:rRNA from 1 species